rnacentral:rRNA from 1 species
GCACUAGCGCGGUGGUCCCACCUGACCCCAUGCCGAACUCAGAAGUGAAACGCCGUAGCGCCGAUGGUAGUGUGGGGUCUCCCCAUGUGAGAGUAGGGAACUGCC